GAACGCUGGCGGCGUGCUUAACACAUGCAAGUCGAGCGAAGCAUUUAGGAUGAUCUCUUCGGAUUGAGUCAUAUAUGACUGAGCGGCGGACGGGUGAGUAACGCGUGGGUAACCUGCCUCAUACAGGGGGAUAACAGUUAGAAAUGACUGCUAAUACCGCAUAAGCGCACAGGGCUGCAUGGCCUGGUGUGAAAAACUCCGGUGGUAUGAGAUGGACCCGCGUCUGAUUAGCUAGUUGGAGGGGUAACGGCCCACCAAGGCGACGAUCAGUAGCCGGCCUGAGAGGGUGAACGGCCACAUUGGGACUGAGACACGGCCCAGACUCCUACGGGAGGCAGCAGUGGGGAAUAUUGCACAAUGGGGGAAACCCUGAUGCAGCGACGCCGCGUGAAGGAAGAAGUAUCUCGGUAUGUAAACUUCUAUCAGCAGGGAAGAAAAUGACGGUACCUGACUAAGAAGCCCCGGCUAACUACGUGCCAGCAGCCGCGGUAAUACGUAG
rnacentral:rRNA from 1 species